UACGGGGGGGAGCAAGCGUUGUUCGGAUUUACUGGGCGUAAAGGGCGCGUAGGCGGCCACCGCAAGUCGAUUGUGAAAUCUCUGGGCUUAACCCCGGAAAGGUCAACCGAUACUGCGGGGCUAGAGUGCAGAAGGGGCAACUGGAAUUCUCGGUGUAGCGGUGAAAUGCGUAGAUAUCGAGAGGAACACCUGCGGCGAAGGCGGGUUGCUGGGCCGACACUGACGCUGAGACGCGAAAGCGUGGGAGCAAACAGG
rnacentral:rRNA from 1 species